rnacentral:misc_RNA from 1 species
GAAAUGCGAUAAGUAAUGUGAAUUGCAGAAUUCAGUGAAUCAUCGAAUCUUUGAACGCAUCUUGCGCUCCUUGGUAUUCCGAGGAGCAUGCCUGUUUGAGUGUCAUUUAAAUUCUCAAACCACUUGACAGUGGCUUUGGAUGUGGGGGGCUUGCAGGCUUUCUUCUCAAGUCUGCUCCCCUGAAAUGCAUUAGUGGUAUCUGGAGCGGAAACCGCUAGGUGUGAUAAUUAAUCGUCUACGCCUUUGGUAUGCCGCAUGAAACAGAUUGUGCUGCUUCCAACACGCACUUUUGACAAACUUGACCUCAAAUCAGGUAGGACUACCCGCUGAACUUAA